rnacentral:sRNA from 1 species
UAUGAUACUUCCCUGAACCUGACUGAAAAAGGGCCCGCGCAGUAGGAUAAGCCGCGGGGGAAUGCUCGCCGUGUUUGAAAAAGAAUACGGCCGGAUUUC